AUUGAACGCUGGCGGAAUGCUUUACACAUGCAAGUCGAACGAUGAACCUUAGCUUGCUAAGGGGAUUAGUGGCGAACGGGUGAGUAAUGUAUCGGAACGUAUCCAAUAAUGGGGGAUAACUAGUCGAAAGAUUAGCUAAUACCGCAUACGUCCUACGGGAGAAAGCUAGGGACCUUCGGGCCUGGCGUUAAUGGAGCGGCCGAUAUCUGAUUAGCUAGUUGGUGGGGUAAAGGCUCACCAAGGCGACGAUCAGUAGCUGGUCUGAGAGGACGACCAGCCACACUGGAACUGAGACACGGUCCAGACUCCUACGGGAGGCAGCAGUGGGGAAUUUUGGACAAUGGGCGAAAGCCUGAUCCAGCCAUUCCGCGUGAAUGAAGAAGGCCUUCGGGUUGUAAAGCUCUUUCGCAAGGGAGGAAAACUUAAGCUCUAACAUAGCUUGAGGUUGACGGUACCUUGAUAAGAAGCACCGGCUAACUACGUGCCAGCCGCCGCGGUAA
rnacentral:rRNA from 1 species